rnacentral:siRNA from 1 species
UACCUGAUCUUGUUGGGCAUC